rnacentral:rRNA from 1 species
CGAAUGCUGACAUAAGUAACGAUAAAGCGGGUGAAAAGCCCGCUCGCCGGAAGACCAAGGGUUCCUGUCCAACGUUAAUCGGGGCAGGGUGAGUCGACCCCUAAGGCGAGGCCGAAAGGCGUAGUCGAUGGGAAACAGGUUAAUAUUCCUGUACUUGGUGUUACUGCGAAGGGGGGACGGAGAAGGCUAUGUUGGCCGGGCGACGGUUGUCCCGGUUUAAGCGUGUAGGCUGGUUUUCCAGGCAAAUCCGGAAAAUCAAGGCUGAGGCGUGAUGACGAGGCACUACGGUGCUGAAGCAACAAAUGCCCUGCUUCCAGGAAAAGCCUCUAAGCAUCAGGUAACAUCAAAUCGUACCCCAAACCGACACAGGUGGUCAGGUAGAGAAUACCAAGGCGCUUGAGAGAACUCGGGUGAAGGAACUAGGCAAAAUGGUGCCGUAACUUCGGGAGAAGGCACGCUGAUAUGUAGGUGAAGUCCCUCGCGGAUGGAGCUGAAAUCAGUCGAAGAUACCAGCUGGCUGCAACUGUUUAUUAAAAACACAGCACUGUGCAAACACGAAAGUGGACGUAUACGGUGUGACGCCUGCCCGGUGCCGGAAGGUUAAUUGAUGGGGUCAGCGCAAGCGAAGCUCUUGAUCGAAGCCCCGGUAAACGGCGGCCGUAACUAUAACGGUCCUAAGGUAGCGAAAUUCCUUGUCGGGUAAGUUCCGACCUGCACGAAUGGCGUAAUGAUGGCCAGGCUGUCUCCACCCGAGACUCAGUGAAAUUGAACUCGCUGUGAAGAUGCAGUGUACCCGCGGCAAGACGGAAAGACCCCGUGAACCUUUACUAUAGCUUGACACUGAACAUUGAGCCUUGAUGUGUAGGAUAGGUGGGAGGCUUAGAAGUGUGGACGCCAGUCUGCAUGGAGCCGACCUUGAAAUACCACCCUUUAAUGUUUGAUGUUCUAACGUUGACCCGUGAUCCGGGUUGCGGACAGUGUCUGGUGGGUAGUUUGACUGGGGCGGUCUCCUCCUAAAGAGUAACGGAGGAGCACGAAGGUUGGCUAAUCCUGGUCGGACAUCAGGAGGUUAGUGCAAUGGCAUAAGCCAGCUUGACUGCGAGCGUGACGGCGCGAGCAGGUGCGAAAGCAGGUCAUAGUGAUCCGGUGGUUCUGAAUGGAAGGGCCAUCGCUCAACGGAUAAAAGGUACUCCGGGGAUAACAGGCUGAUACCGCCCAAGAGUUCAUAUCGACGGCGGUGUUUGGCACCUCGAUGUCGGCUCAUCACAUCCUGGGGCUGAAGUAGGUCCCAAGGGUAUGGCUGUUCGCCAUUUAAAGUGGUACGCGAGCUGGGUUUAGAACGUCGUGAGACAGUUCGGUCCCUAUCUGCCGUGGGCGCUGGAGAACUGAGGGGGGCUGCUCCUAGUACGAGAGGACCGGAGUGGACGCAUCACUGGUGUUCGGGUUGUCAUGCCAAUGGCACUGCCCGGUAGCUAAAUGCGGAAGAGAUAAGUGCUGAAAGCAUCUAAGCACGAAACUUGCCCCGAGAUGAGUUCUCCCUGACCCUUUAAGGGUCCUGAAGGAACGUUGAAGACGACGACGUUGAUAGGCCGGGUGUGUAAGCGCAGCGAUGCGUUGAGCUAACCGGUACUAAUGAACCGUGAGGCUUAACCUU